rnacentral:rRNA from 1 species
GACGAACGCUGGCGGCGUGCUUAACACAUGCAAGUCGAACGGAAAGGCCCUGCUUUUGUGGGGCGCUCGAGUGGCGAACGGGUGAGUAACACGUGAGUAACCUGCCCUUGACUUUGGGAUAACUUCAGGAAACUGGGGCUAAUACCGGAUAGGAGCUCCUGCUGCAUGGUGGGGGUUGGAAAGUUUCGGCGGUUGGGGAUGGACUCGCGGCUUAUCAGCUUGUUGGUGGGGUAGUGGCUUACCAAGGCUUUGACGGGUAGCCGGCCUGAGAGGGUGACCGGCCACAUUGGGACUGAGAUACGGCCCAGACUCCUACGGGAGGCAGCAGUGGGGAAUAUUGCACAAUGGGCGGAAGCCUGAUGCAGCAACGCCGCGUGCGGGAUGACGGCCUUCGGGUUGUAAACCGCUUUCGCCUGUGACGAAGCGUGAGUGACGGUAAUGGGUAAAGAAGCACCGGCUAACUACGUGCCAGCAGCCGCGGUGAUACGUAGGGUGCGAGCGUUGUCCGGAUUUAUUGGGCGUAAAGGGCUCGUAGGUGGUUGAUCGCGUCGGAAGUGUAAUCUUGGGGCUUAACCCUGAGCGUGCUUUCGAUACGGGUUGACUUGAGGAAGGUAGGGGAGAAUGGAAUUCCUGGUGGAGCGGUGGAAUGCGCAGAUAUCAGGAGGAACACCAGUGGCGAAGGCGGUUCUCUGGGCCUUUCCUGACGCUGAGGAGCGAAAGCGUGGGGAGCGAACAGGCUUAGAUACCCUGGUAGUCCACGCUGUAAACGGUGGGUACUAGGUGUGGGGUCCAUUCCACGGGUUCCGUGCCGUAGCUAACGCUUUAAGUACCCCGCCUGGGGAGUACGGCCGCAAGGCUAAAACUCAAAGGAAUUGACGGGGCCCCGCACAAGCGGCGGAGCAUGCGGAUUAAUUCGAUGCAACGCGUAGAACCUUACCUGGGUUUGACAUGGAUCGGGAGUGCUCAGAGAUGGGUGUGCCUCUUUUGGGGUCGGUUCACAGGUGGUGCAUGGCUGUCGUCAGCUCGUGUCGUGAGAUGUUGGGUUAAGUCCCGCAACGAGCGCAACCCUUGUUCACUGUUGCCAGCACGUUAUGGUGGGGACUCAGUGGAGACCGCCGGGGUCAACUCGGAGGAAGGUGGGGAUGACGUCAAGUCAUCAUGCCCCUUAUGUCCAGGGCUUCACGCAUGCUACAAUGGCUGGUACAGAGAGUGGCGAGCCUGUGAGGGUGAGCGAAUCUCGGAAAGCCGGUCUCAGUUCGGAUUGGGGUCUACAACUCGACCUCAUGAAGUCGGAGUCGCUAGUAAUCGCAGAUCAGCAACGCUGCGGUGAAAACGUUCCCGGGGCU